rnacentral:rRNA from 1 species
UACCGGCGAGAAAUCGCCGACAAUGCCGCAUAGGCUCGUGCUCUCUUUGACGAGAGGCACGAGCAAAGCUUUGCGCGUGCGAACGAGCGAGGUGCCCUGGGAGGAGCCUGCGUCCGAUUAGCUAGUUGGUGGGGUAACGGCCUACCAAGGCGACGAUCGGUAGCUGGUCUGAGAGGAUGGUCAGCCACACUGGGACUGAGACACGGCCCAA